GGUUGCGAUCAUACCAGCACUAAUGCACCGGAUCCCAUCAGAACUCCGCAGUGAAGCGUGCUUGGGCGAGAGUAGUACUAGGAUGGGUGACCCCCUGGGAAGUCCUCGUGUUGCAACCCC
rnacentral:rRNA from 1 species